rnacentral:rRNA from 1 species
AGCUCCAAUAGCGUAUAUUAAAGUUGUUGCAGUUAAAAAGCUCGUAGUCGAAUUUCUGGCUGGCGUUGCACGCGCUUCGGUGUGUGUACCGUGCAGUCAUCCUCUUGAGAACUGUUCACACCUUCACUGGCUGUGGGCAGGUAUCAGGAAUUUUACUUUGAAAAAAUUAGAGUGUUUCAGGCAGGCAAUUGCCCGAAUACAUUAGCAUGGAAUAAUGGAAUAGGACUUCUCCCAUUUUGUUGGUUAUUGGUUGAAGUAAUGAUUAAUAGGGACAGUUGGGGGCAUUAGUAUUUAAUUGUCAGAGGUGAAAUUCUUGGAUUUAUUAAAGACUAACUAAUGCGAAAGCAUUUGCCAAGGAUGUUUUCA